rnacentral:lncRNA from 1 species
AAAAGAUAUUAGGUGACUUCAGCCAAGCUGAUCAAGUGGUAGCCGCUCCAACUGAGAGCGUAGUUGUCAGGAUUGCUCCACUAGAACCUGAAGGAAGAGUAAAUACUUUUAGAUAAAUCAUCUAGGUGCCAAGAAAGUCAGAAACCAUCAAAUUCAGAAUUUGUGCUCCAGUUAGACGGAAGGUUUUAAAUCUGAGGACAAUUCAUGUCUUUAGCCAUAGAGGGUUCCAAAGGAGAUAGAUAAAAAAUAACCAAUGAUACUUCUAAUUUUUUUUAUGUCUUUCUUUUUAGCCUGUAGCACAGUGUAUAUAGAGAGAAUUUGUCUCACUUUUCAGUAGCAUCUUACGAGUUCACAAAACUGCUCUUUGCAAAGUUAUUUUUACGGUGGAAUAUGAAUUUUGCAAUCUUAUCCAAAAAACAUCAAGAUUCAUCUAUAAGACUACAACCAAAGAUUGAUAAAGUUCUGGUCGUAUAUUCUUAUGUGUCAUAUCAGUCAGUACACUGAACCAAAAAGUCACUAGGCAGAAUAAAUGGUAUCCUGAUCAUGAAUGCCUAGUGUAGUCUACAGGAUGCAAUUACGUUCCAGACCUUAUCGCAUGUAUUCUUGACAGUGACAAAUGCACGAAGUUCAUGAACAAAAUAUACAUCUAUCCACUUGACACGACCCACUUAAUAAUCUAUCUAUAUGCCUCAAAACCAAUCCACACACAUGAGUAGUCAUCAAAUAGCAAAUACCAAGAUCAAGACCGAAAAGAUAUCAGCAGGAACUAUGAACAAAUAGAUAUUUUACUUAAACACUUUAACAGAAAGAAAUUAUUUAGUAGGAAAGAUGAACAAAUAAAUAUUUACUUUACAGAUAUAAUUAGUACAAACAAUGAAUAAAUAGAUAUUUACUUAACAUAUGGUUACUUAAAAGAUAUCUAGUAGAUAUUUAGUAGGAACGAUGAACAAAUACAUAUCUAAUCAAAAGUGCACUAAAAGAUGAACACUGAGAAAUGGCAUUGACGAGUAAAUGAUUAAAAAAUAGGUUCCACCAAAGAAAGUCAAUAAUGGUUGAUAAAUGAUUAAGAGACAGGACUAAUAAAGCUCUGUGUUUCAGUAUUUCCAGUUUCUAGCAAAAGAGAACUUUUUAAUUAUAAUGUUCCUGAAACUUUUCCCAUGGCCCUUUUAAUCCCAUUGGAUCCAAACCAUUCCCACAUAAUAAAUGCAUCAAGCAAAACUCUUACUUAAAAUUUCCCAGAAAUAUUCCAAAUUCUCACCAACCUUAAAACGUGUGGUUUCACCUGAUAUGUUUCUUUCUGUUCGAGUUCCACACCAUCAUUCAUGUUACUCCUGCAGUGUUGUAGUCAUGAAAAACGGAGACUUUCAAUUAAAAAGUGAAUGAGCAUCAAAUUAAGAUAUUCCAAGCAAACGAAUCAUUCGAGCAUACACAAACAAAAGUAAAGUUUAUUUGCUUUCCGACUGAGACCGGUGAGAAAAGAUAGAAAAGAGGCAUCUCCUACUAUGUAACAUCAACUUUUUAUCCCAAAGAUACACAAUCUUCCCCAAUCUUAAUGUUUCACUAAACCAGCUAUUAGGAAAGUAGCAAGAAAUAAAAUGUUCUACAAAAGCAACUUUUCGAAGAAUCUUGCUUUGAUUUGGAGCUACAAGAAAAACAUUUGAUACUAGAUUCAUGGAGAUUUCCCUCGCAAUUUGCAA